AUUUAUAUUGUUGAUAUUGGCUAGUAUCCUUUUUAGGUAAUUUGUUGCUAAUGUCGACAUUUGUUAAAUGAGUAUUGAUUGUUGAAUUGUUGUUUUUUUCUUAGAUCUCUGACAUUACAAGUUUGAAACAAUGGUUCACAAUUGUUUUUGAAAGCAUAAAGUAGGAAAGAAAAUAGUAACAUAGAUAUUACAACUGAUGAUGAUAUGAUAAUUAUAAAGCAGGCUGCUGAUAAAGACAUAUAUGAGACUAAGAAGAAAAAGAGGUUUACUGAACUCACAGUUCCACAUGGCUGGGGAGGCCUCACAAUCAUUGCAGAAGGCAAGGAGGAGCAAGUCACAUCUUAUAUGGAUGAUGGCAGAUCACAUAUAAAAAUGGUUAUUUUCUAAUUAUGAAGUACCCAUGCAAUUCUUGUGCUAUUUUUGAGGUAUUUAUUUCUUUACUGAUUCAUCUGUUACUACAUGAAGGAUAAAUCUUUGUAAUUAAACACAUUAGUGUGUUUCCUGCUCUUUGACUUUCUGCUUUGGUGCCAUGCUAAGGAAGUAAUUCCAUAUUCUACAAUUUAAAAAAUCAUCACCUAAAUAUUCUUAGCAUGUUUUGGUCUACAGUAUAUGUUUAAUAUCUUUAAUAUAUAAAUAAUAAGGUGUAAUAGUUUGUUCUAUAAAG
rnacentral:lncRNA from 1 species